AACGAGCGCUGGCGGCAGGCUUAACACGUGCAAGUCGAACGCCCCGCAAGGGGAGUGGCAGACGGGUGAGUAACGCGGGGGAAUCUACCCAUCUCUGCGGAAUAGCUCUGGGAAACUGGAAUUAAUACCGCAUACGCCCUACGGGGGAAAGAUUUAUCGGGGAUGGGUGAGCCCGCGUUGGAUUAGCUAGUUGGAGGGGUAAAGGCCAACCAAGGAGACGGUCCAUAGCUGGUCUGAGAGGAUGAUCAGCCACAUUGUGACUGAGACACGGCCCAAACUCCUACGGGAGGCAGCAGUGGGUGAUAUUGGACAAGGGACGCAAGCCUGAUCCAGCCAUGCCGCGUGAGUGAUGAAGGCCUUAGGGGUGUAAAGCUCUUUCACCGAUGAAGAUAAUGACGGUAGUCGGAGAAGAAGCCCCGGCUAACUUCGUGCCAGCCGCCGCGGUAA
rnacentral:rRNA from 1 species